rnacentral:rRNA from 1 species
CCUACGGGUGGCUGCAGUCGAGAAUCUUCGGCAAUGAGCGCAAGCUUGACCGAGCGACGCCGCGUGCGGGAUGAAGGCCUUCGGGUUGUAAACCGCUGUCGUAGGGGAGGAAGUCGGCGGGGGUACUCCCCCGUCGUUGACCUAUCCUAGGAGGAAGUCCGGGCUAAGUUCGUGCCAGCAGCCGCGGUAAGACGAACCGGACAAACGUUAUUCGGAAUUACUGGGCUUAAAGGGUACGUAGGCGGUCCGGUAAGUGGGGUGUGAAAUCCCUCGGCUCAACCGAGGAACUGCGCCCCAUACUGCCGGACUUGAGGGAGACAGAGGUGAGCGGAACUGAUGGUGGAGCGGUGAAAUGCGUUGAUAUCAUCAGGAACACCGGUGGCGAAAGCGACUCACUGGGUCUCUUCUGACGCUGAGGUACGAAAGCUAGGGGAGCGAAC